rnacentral:lncRNA from 1 species
GGCGAUUUAUGGAGGACUUUUUUGCAUUGCCUUUGGCUGGAUUGAUACAAAAGGAAGUUCAUUUUUAAUGGUUGAAUGAUGGGGAAAAAAGUUUUGACGAGUUAAAGAAAAUGUUAGUAUCUGCUCUUAUUCUUACUAUACAUGUUGGUGGGAAAGGUUUUAACAUUUAUAGUGAUGCUUCUGAGAAAGGACUUGAGAGUGUUUUUAUGUAAAAUUACAAGGUGAUGACCUAUGCUUCUAGGCAAUUGAAACCUUAUGAGGAGAAUUAUCCAACCCAUUAUUUAAAGUUGGCAGUAGUAGUUUUUGCCUUGAAAAUUUAGAGACGUCAUUUGUAUGGUGAGCCUUGUGAGGUUUUUACAGAUUAUAAGAGUUUGAAGUAUUUAUUCACAUAGAGGCGUUGAAUAUGUGGCAAAAGAAAUGGUUAAGUUGUUGAAAGAUUAUGACUUGACCAUUAGUUAUCACCCUGGUAAGGUGAAUAGAGUAGCUAAUGCCUUGAGUAAAAAAACUUUGAGGAACACGAUUGUGACAAUUACUUCCCAAAGAUAGAUUUUAGAAGGCUUGCGAAGAAUGGAUAUCAAUGUAUGGGCACAUGGUUUUAGAGUAAUAUUGGCUAACAUACAAGUUUAGCCAACUUUAAUUCAAAGGAUGAAAAUUGCUCAAGCAAAUGAUCCUUAACUCCAACACAUGAAAUUUGAGGUUAAAUUUGGUUUAAAACAAAACUUUAGUUUUCAUGAUGAUGGCUCUUUGAGGUUUACUGAUAGAAUUUAUGUUUCGAAUGAUUUGGAAUUGAAGAAGGAAAUUUUGGAGGAAGCUCAUUAUAGUAACUAUACAAUCCAUCUUAGUGUUACAAAGAUGUACAAAGAUUUAAGGAACACUUCCUUAAUGUAGUGGUUAAAGAGCACAUUUAAGAAUCUUUAUGAUGUAAUACCCCCACUUUUUUUAAUCCAUCUUGUUAUAUUGCAACUAUGACCCUUGGGGUCUAUUUAUGAAGAAAUAAUAAAAGAAAGGGUUUUUGGAAAAAAAGGUGGUUAUAACAUUUAUUUGUUUUCUUUCUAUAUCAAUAGGCAAAAAAAUUAGAAGGUUAGUAAAAGUUAAACCCAAGAAAAGAAAAAGAAAGGCAAAUCUACUCAAGAAAGCACUUUUUAAGGUAUGAUUAGGUAUCGAAUCAUGAAAAUUUUGUAUUUUUUAUAGCUUGGAUGCAAAAGCUCUAGAUUAUUUGAUGUUUCUUCAUUUGCUGUCCAAAUUUGGUAAUGUUCUGAUGACUUUCUGUAAAUAUGGUUUUUGUGAUAGGGAAAGGAAGCAUUGCAAACAAGUGAAAGGAUGUAUCAGAGGUAACGAAGAAGAAGAUCAGAGCAGUUCCUAAAGUACUAAGUAUUGUGGAAAAAGAAGGAGAAUAAAAAGAGAAACGGUAGAUAAUUAGAAAGUAGAAGAUAAUUAAAAAGAGAAGUUAGAGAGACAAGCUCUGGGUGAGAAUCUUAUAGCUUUGAAAAAAAAGAUCCCUAAAUGAAUUAUGAAGUUUCUAUGUAUAGUGCAAAAAGUGAUGGUUACUCAAGAAUAGGUUUUAAUGCGCGUAAUGAAUGACAUUAUUAUUAAGAGCG